UCCGCUGACGACCGGCGCACGGGUGCGUAACGCGUAUGCAACCUACCUUUUACAGGAGUAUAGCCCAGAGAAAUUUGGAUUAAUCCUCCAUAAUAUCUUAAUCAUGCAUAUGAUAAAGAUUAAAGCUUCGGUGGUAAAAGAUGGGCAUGCGUUUUAUUAGCUAGUAGGUGAGGUAACGGCUCACCUAGGCCACGAUAAAUAGGGGCCCUGAGAGGGGGAUCCCCCACACUGGUACUGAGACACGGACCAGACUCCUACGGGAGGCAGCAGUGAGGAAUAUUGGACAAUGGACGAAAGUCUGAUCCAGCCAUGCCGCGUGCAGGAUGACGGCCCUAUGGGUUGUAAACUGCUUUUAUACAGGAAGAAACACUCCCACGUGUGGGGGCUUGACGGUACUGUACGAAUAAGGAUCGGCUAACUCCGUGCCAGCAGCCGCGGUAAUACGGAGGAUCCAAGCGUUAUCCGGAAUUAUUGGGUUUAAAGGGUCCGCAGGCGGUCUAUUAAGUCAGAGGUGAAAUCUUGCAGCUCAACUGUAAAAUUGCCUUUGAUACUGGUAGACUUGAGUCAUUGUGAAGUGGUUAGAAUGUGUAGUGUAGCGGUGAAAUGCAUAGAUAUUACACAGAAUACCAAUUGCGAAGGCAGAUCACUAACCAUGUACUGGCGCUCAUGGACGAAAGCGUGGGGAGCGAACAGGAUUAGAGACCCUGGGAGUCCACGCCGUAAACGAUGGAUACUAACUGUUCGUCCCGCUUGCGGGAUGAGUGUAAGCGAAAGUGAUAAUAUCCCAC
rnacentral:rRNA from 1 species